AGUGAACGCUGGCGGUAGGCCUAACACAUGCAAGUCGAACGGCAGCACAGUAAGAGCUUGCUCUUACGGGUGGCGAGUGGCGGACGGGUGAGGAAUACAUCGGAAUCUACUUUUUCGUGGGGGAUAACGUAGGGAAACUUACGCUAAUACCGCAUACGACCUACGGGUGGAAGCAGGGGAUCUUCGGACCUUGCGCGAUUGAAUGAGCCGAUGUCGGAUUAGCUAGUUGGCGGGGUAAAGGCCCACCAAGGCGACGAUCCGUAGCUGGUCUGAGAGGAUGAUCAGCCACACUGGAACUGAGACACGGUCCAGACUCCUACGGGAGGCAGCAGUGGGGAAUAUUGGACAAUGGGCGCAAGCCUGAUCCAGCCAUACCGCGUGGGUGAAGAAGGCCUUCGGGCUGUAAAGCCCUUUUGUUGGGAAAGAAAAGCAGCAGGUUAAUACCCCGCUGUUCUGACGGUACCCAAAGAAUAAGCACCGGCUAACUUCGUG
rnacentral:rRNA from 1 species